rnacentral:lncRNA from 10 species
CGUGAAUGGACUAUUCUCUCUGGAGAGAGGGCAGAGUCAACAGGGCUCUUAGACUACACUCGGUCUGAGUUGCCUGAAGGAGAGGUGGGGGUACUGCAAGGCCCCUCUGGCCUUUCACUUCUCUGGUGGACAGCUUGAGCCAGAGAGCCCGUGAUAAGAUAAAAUUUAAAAAGAAACAGCGGAUGUCAGAUUCUGAGGCGAAACAUUAUUUUUAGAGACUGUAAUAGAGCAGCUAUCACUUACGAGAAAACAAUCCUCAAUGUUGACAUUUGAGUUCUUGACCUAAAAUUCUGAAUUGAAAAAGUCUAAUAAAAAUCCUGCAACCAGGUCCACCGCAUGAAGAAAGGAAGAAUAAAACAGAACCUGCUCAUGAAGAGGAAAAGUCCCCGUGCUUUUCAGGAGUUCAUCUUAAUUGACAGCAUCUUCACCAGUACCAAGAAAUAUCUCUUAAGUUCUGGCCCGGUUUUAACAUAAAAGGCAAUGAAGUUGAGGACCAUGUAUCAUCAGGUUGAUCAUGAAAUUUGGUCAACAUGCUUGCUAACAAUUACUAAGGACUUCCUAUGAAUCCUGUUAAUGAGCCCCAAAGCCCUCCUCCUCUUCCAGAAAGCUAUGUGUCUGUCAGCAUCCCAUCCUCAUGAUCAAAAACCAUCAAGAACCAUGAAGGGUCUGAGAUUUUGCUCUAUUGCAAGCGCCUGACAUAUUCAUUGAAACUGGUAAAAGACAUACUCCUAGGUCACAUACAAAGAACUUUAUUACUUAUUGUACAGUAAGCAGGGCAUGACAAUCUGCAA